AGCGAACGCUGGCGGCAUGCCUAACACAUGCAAGUCGAACGAGAUCUUCGGAUCUAGUGGCGCACGGGUGCGUAACGCGUGGGAAUCUGCCCCUUGCUUCGGAAUAACAGUGAGAAAUUACUGCUAAUACCGGAUGAUGUCUUCGGACCAAAGAUUUAUCGGCAAGGGAUGAGCCCGCGUAGGAUUAGGUAGUUGGUGGGGUAAUGGCCUACCAGGCCGACGAUCCUUAGCUGGUCUGAGAGGAUGAUCAGCCACACUGGGACUGAGACACGGCCCAGACUCCUACGGGAGGCAGCAGUGGGGAAUAUUGGACAAUGGGCGAAAGCCUGAUCCAGCAAUGCCGCGUGAGUGAUGAAGGCCUUAGGGUUGUAAAGCUCUUUUACCAGGGAUGAUAAUGACAGUACCUGGAGAAUAAGCUCCGGCUAACUCCGUG
rnacentral:rRNA from 1 species